GUAACUGUGUCUUCAGACUUCCACUUACUGCUCUCCGUAUUAACUCAAUAUGCAGGCUGGAAGUAGGAGUGUGAAAGUAUGGUCAU
ensembl:miRNA gga-mir-1556 gga-mir-1556